rnacentral:lncRNA from 1 species
UUCUUGGAAAUAAAUUACACUGUUUUUUUUUUAUUUUUAUUUUUUUAAUUUCAAAAUGGGUAGAAGCAGACAUGCCCCUUGUGUCUGUCUAAUUGAUGUGAUCUCUGGAAAGCUGUGGCUGUAACUGCAGGAGCAGUGGUCCUAUGCUGUCCUCUGGGUGCCUCUGUUCUAGCUGUCACUACUGUGAUCAGCUGGUCUCCCUCGACACGUGGUAGAUGCAGCAUAGCCUUGGGGCAUCAGUGAGUGGGUGUCUCUUUCAGAAGAAUCAGAUUGUUGUUGGAAGACCACUGAGUGUCUGAUGCAUACACACUGUGACUAUGAAUGCACCCCUACUGUGUUAUUUCUGAAGAAGAGUGCAGAAGCCACAAAGUGUAUUGUACCUUACCAGUAGAAUUCAGUGUUACUGGUUUUUUCUCCAUUUUAUUUUUAUUUCCUUUUUAACUGGAGCUGCACAGUUGUUGGGCAGAAAGAUAAGUAUCAAGAAAAGUCAUAAAAUGUGCUUUUUCUAAAUAGUUCUUUUAUACUGUAAAAUCCUGCAGACUGUUACCUAAGUAGGAUGUGAUGAACUGCUGGCGGUUCCGUGACUCCCAGGUUGCAGCUUACUUUCUAUGUAUGCAUGUCACCUGGAGAGGCUCCUUCCUCUGCCUAGGACAGGCGUUCUUCCCUCAGCUGAUCGCAGCAUACUAUACUACAGGGCUUUUUUCUUGUGGUAUAGGAUGCUUUUGCAUUGAAGUACACUCCUUUCUGAUGAUCAGAUGGUAUUUUUAUGAAGCUAUUUAUUUUGUGUGUUUGCAUGUAUUUAAUCAGAAUGUAAUUUCUGUUCUGUGUUCUGCUAGCAAUGUAGGUGGCUUGAACCUUGAGCCUAAUGUCCAUAGUAUUUCCUUAAGUUAAGUUUGUAGACCAUAAAUGUCUGUAGAUGUCAAAGAACAGUAACUAUGUUAUGACUGUAGAUUUUUUAAAUUUUUUUUCUCAUUGAUUUUAUUAUAAACCAAGAAAUGUAUUUCUCUG